rnacentral:rRNA from 2 species
GUGACCUCAAAUCAGGUAGGACUACCCGCUGAACUUAAGCAUAUCAAUAAGCGGAGGAAAAGAAACUAACAAGGAUUCCCCUAGUAACUGCGAGUGAAGCGGGAAAAGCUCAAAUUUAAAAUCUGUCAGUCUUUGGCUGUCCGAGUUGUAAUCUAGAGAAGUGUUAUCCGCGCUGGACCGUGUACAAGUCUCCUGGAAUGGAGCGUCAUAGAGGGUGAGAAUCCCGUCUUUGACACGGACUGCCAGGGCUUUGUGAUACGCUCUCAAAGAGUCGAGUUGUUUGGGAAUGCAGCUCAAAAUGGGUGGUAAAUUCCAUCUAAAGCUAAAUAUUGGCGAGAGACCGAUAGCGAACAAGUACCGUGAGGGAAAGAUGAAAAGAACUUUGGAAAGAGAGUUAAACAGUACGUGAAAUUGCUGAAAGGGAAACGCUUGAAGUCAGUCGCGUUGUCCAGGGAUCAGCCUUGCUUUUGCUUGGUGUACUUUCUGGUUGACGGGUCAGCAUCAAUUUUGACUGUUGGAAAAAGGUCGGGGGAAUGUGGCAUCUUCGGAUGUGUUAUAGCCCUUGGUUGCAUACAAUGGUUGGGAUUGAGGAACUCAGCACGCCGCAAGGCCGGGUAACUAUUACCACGUACGUGCUAGGAU